AUGGGUUGACUCAUUUAGACCCCAAGCAGAACUAAAAAUGCUUGACUUGAGAGGUUGCUGGCUCUAAGUGAAGGUGCUAUAUCAUCUUUGUGCAAGAGAUUUCCCCAAAUGGAAGUUAGGCAUGAACUCGUUCGAGUUUCUCCAUCCGAUCAAAGUAGUCCAUGUGGACCAUCGCGAUCACGAACAUACUUGAAGACUAAGCAAGCCAAGAAAAAGCAAGAAGAAUUUCCCUUCCUUAUAGAUCAAAGAAUGAAGUAUAGCAGAGAGGAGCUGCUGGCAUUACAGUACUCAACUUUAUCUCUUGCAUUGGCUCAUGAGUGGCAAACAAGAUUUCAGUCAAGAAGUGAUAGCCUGCCAAGUGAUGUUUCAAGAUUUCCAGAGACAGGCUAGAGUGGUAAUAGAUUGAAAGCAUCCAUGCUUUAUGGUUCCGUGUUGUGUAUUCUAUCAAUGUAAUCAAUCAUAGUGGAUAUGGUUUUUUUUUUUUUCCAUUUUAGUACUUGAUCAUGAUAGAAUAAUUAACCUUCAAUCAUUUCAUCAUUAACUUCAAA